UACAGAGGUCUCAAGCGUUGUUCGGAUUCAUUGGGCGUAAAGGGUGCGUAGGUGGCGCUGUAAGUCAGGUGUGAAAUUUCGGAGCUUAACUCCGAAACUGCAUUUGAUACUGCGGUGCUUGAGGACUGGAGAGGAGACUGGAAUUUACGGUGUAGCAGUGAAAUGCGUAGAUAUCGGGAGGAACAUCAGUGGCGAAGGCGGCUACCUGGCCCAAUACUGACACUCAGGUGCGACAGCGUGGGGAGCAAACAGG
rnacentral:rRNA from 1 species